GAGUUUGAUCCUGGCUCAGAAACGAACGCUGGCGGCAGGCCUAACACAUGCAAGUCGAACGAAGUCUUCGGACUUAGUGGCAGACGGGUGAGUAACGCGUGGGAACCUACCUGGAGGUUCGGAAUAACUCGGGGAAACUCGGGCUAAUACCGGAUACGCCCUUACGGGGAAAGAUUUAUCGCCUUUAGAUGGGCCCGCGUUGGAUUAGCUUGUUGGUGAGGUAAAAGCUCACCAAGGCGACGAUCCAUAGCUGGUCUGAGAGGAUGAUCAGCCACACUGGGACUGAGACACGGCCCAGACUCCUACGGGAGGCAGCAGUGAGGAAUAUUCGGCAAUGGGCGCAAGCCUGACCGAGCCAUGCCGCGUGAGUGAAGAAGGCCCUAGGGUUGUAAAGCUCUUUCACCGAUGAAGAUAAUGACGGUAGUCGGAGAAGAAGCCCCGGCUAACUUCGUGCCAGCAGCCGCGGUAAUACGAAGGGGGCUAGCGUUGUUCG
rnacentral:rRNA from 1 species